UACGUAGGGGGCAAGCGUUGUCCGGAAUCAUUGGGCGUAAAGAGCGCGUAGGCGGUCCGGUAAGUCCGCUCUGAAAGUCAAGGGCUCAACCCUUGAAUGCGGGUGGAUACUGCCGGGCUAGAGUCCGGAAGAGGCGAGUGGAAUUCCUGGUGUAGCGGUGAAAUGCGCAGAUAUCGGGAGGAACACCUAUGGCGAAGGCAGCUCGCUGGGACGUUACUGACGCUGAGACGCGAAAGCGUGGGGAGCAAACAGG
rnacentral:rRNA from 1 species